GGGGCUGUAGCUUAGUGGUGUGGCCUCUGCUUUGCAUGCGGAAGGUCCCAAGGUUCAAUCCACAGCAUCUCCA